GAGUUUGAUCCUGGCUCAGGAUGAACGCUAGCGGCAGGCUUAAUACAUGCAAGUCGAGGGGCAGCAGCUUUAUAGCAAUAUAGAGGCUGGCGACCGGCAAACGGGUGCGGAACACGUACACAACCUUCCUUGAAUAGGGGGAUAGCCCAUAGAAAUGUGGAUUAAUACCCCGUAAUAUAGCGGUGUGGCAUCACACUGUUAUUAUAGUUUYGGCGAUUCGAGAUGGGUGUGCGGCUGAUUAGGUAGUUGGCGGGGUAAAGGCCCACCAAGCCUUCGAUCAGUAGCUGAUGUGAGAGCAUGAUCAGCCACACGGGCACUGAGACACGGGCCCGACUCCUACGGGAGGCAGCAGUAAGGAAUAUUGGUCAAUGGACGCAAGUYUGAACCAGCCAUGCCGCGUGAAGGAUGAAGGUCCUCUGGAUUGUAAACUUCUUUUAUAGGGGGCGAAAAAAGGUCUUUCUAGAUCACUGACAGUACCCU
rnacentral:rRNA from 1 species